rnacentral:rRNA from 1 species
GUCUAUGGCCGUACCACCCUGAACACGCCCAAUCUCAUCUGAUCUCGGAAGCUAAGCAGGGACCGGCUUGGUUAGUACUUGGAUGGGAGACUGCUUGGGAAUACCGGGUGCUGUAGGCU